rnacentral:tRNA from 1 species
GCCUGGGUGGCUCAGUUGGUUGAGUGUCUGGCUUCGACUCAGGUCAUGAUCUCACAGUUUGUGGGUUCAAGCCCUGCAUCGGGCU